CGUGUCGCGCAUAUCUGCAUAUCAAUAAGCGGAGGAAAAGAAACUAACAAGGAUUCCCUUAGUAACGGCGAGUGAAGCGGGAAGAGCUCAAAUUUGAAAAUCUUCAAGGUUCUACCUUGACGAAUUGUAGUUUAAAGAAGUGUUUUCUGUUAGAUGAGUAGCAAAAGUUCCUUGGAAUGGGACAUCAUAGAGGGUGAGAAUCCCGUAUUUGGUUAUUCAUUCUAGCUUUGUGAUACACUUUCAAAGAGUCGGAUUGUUUGGGAAUGCAGUCCAAAAUGGGUGGUAAAUUUCAUCUAAAGCUAAAUAUUGGCGAGAGACCGAUAGCGAACAAGUACCGUGAGGGAAAGAUGAAAAGAACAUUGAAAAGAGAGUUAAACAGUACGUGAAAUUGUCAAAAGGGAAGCGUUUUGACACCAGUGUUGUUUUUCCGAAAAUCAAUUACGAAUGGCUUGAUUUUGUGUUGUAUUGACCUUAUCAGCUUUCUGCACUUUUUUCGAGUCUUUCUUAAUGCACUUUUCGGUUAACAAAGUCAACAUCAAUUUCUUUUGUUGUAAAAGAGUAUUCGGAAGGUGGCUUUCUUUUCGGAGAAAGUGUUUAUAGCUCUAUACUUCUACAAUCGGAGAGAUUGAGGUCUGCAGCGUAGAUCCUUCGGGGUUAGAUACACUUGUGCUGAGUUGUAGCUUUUCAUAGACAACUUGUUGACUAUGUUUAGUCAUGCGGCUUACUCGCUUGUGCUAUUUUACCUACGCUUAGGAUGUUGACGAUCAGCUGAGCGCG
rnacentral:rRNA from 1 species